UUACCGCCUCCCGCUUUCUACUUUUCCGGCUCGAUCAUGGUUCAUGGAGGCUCUGGUGCCAUCUGCGUAGGGAGUGUGGAGCCUGCCGAGGGGUUUGAGCUUUCGGGGUUCGCUGGUUUGGCGCGUACGGCCUGGCGCAUUGCGCGAUCGAAUUCGCCGGUCCGGUUAAUCUGGGGCGCGCCAGCGUCUCUUGUUUCAACGUUUUAGCCUUUUGCUUGAAGAAGCAAUCGCUGCUUCGUUUUCUAGUUGGCUAUUUGUUGUUUUAUUGUUUGUUUUAAACAGAUGAAUUAGCAGUGCCGUCAUCGGAUCAUUCGUAAGUGUUUUUAUGGUUGAUUUUUGCAAUCUACUCCACCGAGAAAAAGGAUGGUAGAUGUAGCUUUGUUCAUGCGGCGCUAUAACAUUUACAACUCGAUAUAGGUGGACUAUGAAAAAGUGACGGUGAGAGACUUCAAACAAUAUGCAGCUCGAAAGGGAAAAGGGCCUAGGUUAUGCUGCCCUUUCGCUUUCAAGAUGGAUGAUCCUCAUCAGGUUGUUGGAAUUUCGUCCGGUACACAUUUGAUGGCAUGUAGGACAGGAGGUGCUAGACACCUUGAGGGCGGAGGAUAGGAUAGCAACUUUCAUUCCCCCCCUCUGAUAGGACGAUGGAAGAACCACCGUGAAUUUGUGUUUCUAGUUCUAGCAUGUUUGGCCGCGCCCAUAUUUAUUUGUUAUGCUUGUAUUGGUUAAGUUGCCCAACACCAAAUGCAUGUCACAUCAAAAGCUCAUAACAGAACUUUUUUGUGAUCUGUGGAUCUGGCAUCGCAGAGGAGCUUAAGGCCAUGACGAGAAGGUUAGCCUUAAGUGUUAUCCAGCUGUUUAGAUAAAUCAUUUUUUUCUAAGUCUUUACACACUAGUUAGUUAACUCUUCUAGUAUAAGGAGGCUCCAAACUUCUGUCAGUGGGUAUCAGAUCUCAGAUUUCGUUCUAGCUGCUGUUUUCUUCUCCACCUUACUCCUUUUUUUUUUCCUAAUCCAGGUCUUUAAGGGCAUGUACAACGGUCAGCCAAGGCCGUCGUUUUGCCUCGAUCCCAUCUAAAUAGUCUUUCCAUCGGCAAUUAAACGAAGAGAGAGAAUAGAGCCGUCGACUAUUUCGUCUACGACGCGAGUACGUGCUCCAAGACGAGGGGACGGCGCAGCCACGCGUUGUACAGGCCGACGCUGCUCGUCAACGACUUGGAGGAUCCCGUGCGGGGCGCGCCAUUUUCCCCACCCCCAUCCCCUUUCUUCUCCAGCAACUUGAGCACGAGCACCACGGGGAAGAAGGAAAGGAGAACCGAGCAUGAGCACUAUGGGGAAGGAGGAGAACUGAGCAUAAACACCAUGGGGAAGGAGGAGAACCGAGCACGAGCAUCAUGGCGACCGGUCACCACGUCCAUGUCCCUCGCUCCCUCGGUCCAUCCCUGCGCCUUCUGCUUCGAAACGCGAUCGGAAGAUGAGAAACAAGAGAGCGAGGGAAGAUGAACAGUACAAGCUAGCAAGCCAGGGAUGUUUAGUAAUACUUAUGUGUUCAUGAUUUUGUGAAAUUCAUAGUAAAAAUAAAUAUAGGUCCAAAUAAUCUCAAACUUGUUUUGUUGAAUCUGUCUUGUGAUGCUUUACAUUUAAAAAAUAUGAAUACACAUGCUACGGUCAUGUGUUUUUAUCUAUAGAUUUAUUUGUGCUAGGGUAUUUAAAUGCAUAUUAAAUUAUGUAUUGGUCCAACAAAAUGUGAAACAAAGUUUGUUAGACUUCUUUUUAGAUUUGCAUUUCAAAAUUAUAACCUUUACUCUUGAGAAGUGUUUAUUUUCUGCUUUUUUAAAGGUAUUUCUUACUUACUGCUUGAGAACUGAGGAAUGUCUAGUAAAUUAUAAAAAAUAAUAAAAUGGCAAAAACCAUUUUUUCAUCUUUUUUCUUUGUUUAGAAUAUGAGAAAAAUAAGUUUGCUAUGUUUCCUGUGAGUUUAUAUGCCUUUUGUGAUUUAUUGUGUUAUAGGUGGCUUAAAAUUUGCUACAAAGAGCCAUAUGAAUUAAUGUUUAUAUACGUUUAUGAUUUAAUAUGUUAUAGAUAUAAGAUUUAUGCGAAUUAUUUGAAUGUAUUAUGCAUUCUCUCGUGUAUGCAACAAAAUGGCUAAAAAGAUCAAUUAUGCACUAGAUAAUCAUGAGUUUGUGUGUCAAAGGAUGAAUUAAUCACCCUGCAGACAGCCAAACAGACAGCCCAUUGUACAAGCUAUCUGUUCAACUGUCUGUUUAUGAUAAAAAGACAGCAGCUGUCUGCACUGUUGUAUUUGCCCUAAGUGUACCCAUGUACUAAAAGGCAAAUCCUUACGGGAUGCAUGUUCUAGCUUCAUGAAAUUUAUAAUUGUAUUUCUUGUGUUAGAUUAGGCUUUAACUCCAGUAGGCUGUAGCUAAUCAAUUAUGUUGUCUUUUGCAAGGUCCACCUAUAUGGAGGUCAAGUAACUUCUUGGAAGAAUGGCCAUGGAGAUGAGUUACUUUUUGUCAGCAGCAAGGCCAUUUUCAAGCCUCCAAAAGCAAUCCGUGGUGGAAUACCUAUUUGCUUUCCCCAAUUUGGAACACAAGGAAAUCUUGAGAAACAUGGAUUUGCAAGGAACCGUUUAUGGGUCAUUGAUGAUAAUCCUCCACCUUAGCCAGUAAACACUGCUAUAAAAACUUUUACUGAUCUCAUCCUGAAGCCUUCUGAAGAAGAUCUCAAGAUUUGGCCUCACAGGUUUCCAUUCAUAUAUUGUCAACUGAAACUUCUCCAAGAAUCUGGAACUGGAAUUGUGGACCUUUCUUGCAUGAUUUUCCAAUGAUGUGUUCAAUUUACUUGUAAAUGCUUUUGAUAGUCUCAUAUGUAUUAUGCUUGUGUCAUUAAUAUUGAAGCGAACUUGGAUAAAGCAAAACCUUUCUAGAAGCAGCUCGGCUGCUGACGAACAUGCUGGUUUUAUACUAUAGUUUUAGUGUAGGCACACACCGAAGUUUUAGACCACAUGAGACAGGUCAUGUACUUUAGUUGUAUAGGUAAGGAGGGAGCUGAAGUUGGAGAAAAUAGGUGUUAACAGACAUUCAGUAUCAUGUACCUUAUGUCAAUUCAAGCACAUACCCAUUCAAACUGUUGAGAAGGCACGGAUGAUGGCAAAAGUCAUGCGGAUGGGAAGGAAGGCAGGGGCAAGGAAGAAGGCAAGCGGGAAGAUGACGGGGAGAGUGGCAAGCACAGGAAAAAUGAUAAGUCAUCAGGGAAGGGGUAUAAGACGAGGGCUGAUGAUGAAACAGAUAAGACUCGUAAAGUGAAAGGCAAAGCAUAGAGGCCAGAAAGCAUGUAUAUUGAUGUCCAUGACAUUCCUACUAAAGGAAGUGAUAGUGAUAACUCUAAGACAUUAUCAGAGCUUGAGGAUUCUAUUUUCCAUAACAGCAGAGUGGUAAACACAAAGUUGAGGUUGGCAGAUGAUCUGGUACUGGUAGUGAAAGAGAACCAACAUAAGAGGCGACGCCACUAUUCAAAUCCCUGAUGGAAGGACCUCUUUUCUUGACCCUGGCUUGGUACCACUACUGCAUUAAUCGGGCAAAAUCAAUUUUCUGAGGCGGGCACAAGAAACGCCUCAGACCUAAGGUCACAGGAAAUGAGCAUUUUCUGAGGCGGUUUGGUGCUAGCCUCAGUUAAUCAAAUAAAAAAAGAAAACCCACGACAGGCCCGCCGAGCCCAUCACAGGCCCGUCAAGCCCAUCUGAGCUAGGUGCGGGUCGCCGUCGCCCCUCCGCCGCCCGCCCGCCGCGCGCUCGGGGCCGCGUAGCGCCGCUGC